rnacentral:rRNA from 1 species
CCUACGGGAGGCAGCAGUAGGGAAUUUUCGGCAAUGGGGGGAACCCUGACCGAGCAACGCCGCGUGAACGAAGAAGUUCUUCGUAAUGUAAAGUUCUUUUAACAGGGAAGAAAGAGAAAUUUGACGGUACCUGAUGAAUAAGCUCCGGCUAACUACGUGCCAUCAGCCGCGGUAAUACGUAGGGAGCGAGCGUUAUCCGGAAUUAUUGGGCGAAAAGGGUGCGUAGAUGGCAUAGUAAGUCUUUUUUAAAAAUGCUGGGCUCAACCCAGUAGGGCAAAAGAUACUGGAAAGCUAGAGUAUGACAGAGGCAGGUGGAACUAGAGGUGUAGCGGUAAAAUGCGUAAAUAUAUGUAAGAACACCAGUGGCGAAGGCGGCUUGCUGGGUCGAUACUGACAUUGAGGCACGAAAGCGUGGGGAGCAAACAGGAUUAGAUACCCUUGUAGUC